GACGAACGCUGGCGGCGUGCUUAACACAUGCAAGUCGAACGAUGAUGCCCAGCUUGCUGGGUGGAUUAGUGGCGAACGGGUGAGUAACACGUGAGUAACCUGCCCCUGACUCUGGGAUAAGCGUUGGAAACGACGUCUAAUACUGGAUAUGACUGCCGGCCGCAUGGUCUGGUGGUGGAAAGAUUUUUUGGUUGGGGAUGGACUCGCGGCCUAUCAGCUUGUUGGUGAGGUAAUGGCUCUCCAAGGCGACGACGGGUAGCCGGCCUGAGAGGGUGACCGGCCACACUGGGACUGAGACACGGCCCAGACUCCUACGGGAGGCAGCAGUGGGGAAUAUUGCACAAUGGGCGAAAGCCUGAUGCAGCAACGCCGCGUGAGGGAUGACGGCCUUCGGGUUGUAAACCUCUUUUAGUAGGGAAGAAGCGUAAGUGACGGUACCUGCAGAAAAAGCACCGGCUAACUACGUGCCAGCCGCCGCGGUAA
rnacentral:rRNA from 1 species